UGUUGACCUCGGAUCAGGUAGGAUUACCCGCUGAACUUAA
rnacentral:rRNA from 1 species